rnacentral:rRNA from 1 species
AGCGAACGCUGGCGGCAGGCCUAACACAUGCAAGUCGAACGAACCUUUCGGGGUUAGUGGCGGACGGGUGAGUAACACGUGGGAACGUGCCUUUAGGUUCGGAAUAACUCAGGGAAACUUGUGCUAAUACCGAAUGUGCCCUUCGGGGGAAAGAUUUAUCGCCUUUAGAGCGGCCCGCGUCUGAUUAGCUAGUUGGUUGAGGUAAUGGCUCACCAAGGCGACGAUCAGUAGCUGGUCUGAGAGGAUGAUCAGCCACAUUGGGACUGAGACACGGCCCAAACUCCUACGGGAAGCAGCAGUGGGGAAUCUUGCGAAAUGGGCGAAAGCCUGACGCAGCCAUGCCGCGUGAAUGAUGAAGGUCUUAGGAUUGUAAAAUUCUUUCACCGGGGACGAUAAUGACGGUACCCGGAGAAGAAGCCCCGGCUAACUUCGUG